rnacentral:lncRNA from 1 species
UAGGGCAACUAAGGUUUUCAAAGAAAUGAAAAAAAAUGCUAAGUGCAGAAUAAAAUAUUAGGACAAAAAUUGCAAAAGUAGGUAUCAGAAUGAAUAAAGUUGUGAACAUGUCAAUAUCUUUGCUUUAAAAUAGCUUUCAUACACUGCAGUUCUUAAUUAUGAAGUGAUCAGGUUUUCAUGGUUAGCCUGUUUGGUCUUAUUUAGGAAAUUUUUACAGUCACAGAGGUAACUAUUUUCUGUUAAGAGUUGUGAAGGUUUGCUGUCACCUAAGAGCUUAAUUCACGUAUUAGAGUUCUCAAGAAAUGAAACAUAAGUGUAGUUGUGUACAGA